AUCGAUGAAGAACGCAGCGAAAUGCGAUAAGUAAUGUGAAUUGCAGAAUUCAGUGAAUCAUCGAAUCUUUGAACGCACAUUGCGCCCUCUGGUAUUCCGGAGGGCAUGCCUGUUCGAGCGUCAUUUCACCACUCAAGCCUCGCUUGGUGUUGGGCGCCGCGGUGUUCCGCGCGCCUCAAAGUCUCCGGCUGAGCUGUCCGUCUCCAAGCGUUGUGAUUUCAUUAAUCGCUUCGGGGCGCGGGCGGCCGCGGCCGUUAAAUCCUUCACAGGUUGACCUCGGAUCAGGUAGGGAUACCCGCUGAACUUAAGCAUAUCAAUAAGCGGAGGAAAAGAAACCAACAGGGAUUGCCCUAGUAACGGCGAGUGAAGCGGCAACAGCUCAAAUUUGAAAUCUGGCGCAAGCCCGAGUUGUAAUUUGUAGAGGAUGCUUCUGGGUAGCGACCGGUCUAAGUUCCUUGGAACAGGACGUCAGAGAGGGUGAGAAUCCCGUAUGUGACCGGCCCGCACCCUCCACGUAGCUCCUUCGACGAGUCGAGUUGUUUGGGAAUGCAGCUCUAAAUGGGAGGUAAAUUUCUUCUAAAGCUAAAUACCGGCCAGAGACCGAUAGCGCACAAGUAGAGUGAUCGAAAGAUGAAAAGUACUUUGGAAAGAGAGUUAAAAAGCACGUGAAAUUGUUGAAAGGGAAGCGCCUGCAAUCAGACUUCGCGGCAGUGUUCCGCCGGUCUUCUGACCGGUCCACUCGCUGUCGCGAGGCCAUCAUCGUCUCCGCCCGCCAGAUAAGACCCUGGGAAUGUGGCUCCCCCUCGGGGGAGUGUUAUAGCCCCGGGUGAUGUGGCGCGGCGGGGGCGAGGUCUGCGCUUCGGCAAGGAUGAUGGCGUAAUGGUUGUCGGCGGCCCGUCUUGAAACACGG
rnacentral:rRNA from 1 species